GCCUAACACAUGCAAGUCGAGCGGGAAGCUUUUUAAGGAUUCUUCGGAUGAAUUAAAAAGUGGAGAGCGGCGGACGGGUGAGUAACGCGUGAGAAACCUGCCCUAUACAGGGGGAUAGCCAUUGGAAACGAUGAUUAAUACCCCAUAUGACCACAGUAUCGCAUGAUACAGCGGUGAAAACUCCGGUGGUAUAGGAUGGUCUCGCGUCUGAUUAGCUAGUUGGUGGGGUAACGGCCUACCAAGGCGACGAUCAGUAGCCGGCCUGAGAGGGUGACCGGCCACACUGGAACUGAGACACGGUCCAGACUCCUACGGGAGGCAGCAGUGGGGAAUAUUGCACAAUGGGCGAAAGCCUGAUGCAGCGACGCCGCGUGAACGAUGAAGGCUUUCGAGUCGUAAAGUUCUGUUCUUGGGGAAGAUAACGACGGUACCCAAGGAGAAAGCACCGGCUAAAUACGUGCCAGCAGCCGCGGUAAUACGUAUGGUGCAAGCGUUGUCCGGAAUUACUGGGCGUAAAGAGUUCGUAGGCGGUUAGAUUAGUCAGAAGUGAAAGGCUACGGCUCA
rnacentral:rRNA from 1 species